UACGGAGGGUGCAAACGUUGCUCGGAAUCAUUGGGCGUAAAGCGCGUGUAGGCGGCCAAUUAAGUCGAGUGUGAAAGCCCUGAGCUUAACUCAGGAAGUGCGCUCGAUACUGAUAGGCUUGAGUACGGGAGAGGGUAGUGGAAUUCCCGGUGUAGAGGUGAAAUUCGUAGAUAUCGGGAGGAACACCAGUGGCGAAGGCGGCUACCUGGACCGAUACUGACGCUGAGACGCGAAAGCGUGGGUAGCAAACAGG
rnacentral:rRNA from 1 species